GGUUAAGCGACUAAGCGUACACGGUGGAUGCCCUGGCAGUCAGAGGCGAUGAAGGACGUGCUAAUCUGCGAAAAGCGUCGGUAAGGUGAUAUGAACCGUUAUAACCGGCGAUGUCCGAAUGGGGAAACCCAGUGUGAUUCGUCA
rnacentral:rRNA from 1 species